GGAAGAGAGGGGGCUUUGGUGGCCUCAGGAAUAUACACGUAGAGAGAGAGAGUGAACACUUACGCAAGAGAAGGAGAGAGCUCAAGGAAGAAGCAAGGAAAGCUUAAGGAAUUCCUGAAAGCCCAUUUGAUUCUAGGUCACGAGUCAAGGACUGCUUAACCAACUGUUCUGGAAACCCACUGUGAGCGUUAUGGAGGGCAAGCCUAGAAGGGGUCUUUAACUGAGCCACCGUUUUGAAGCCUAUUGUUGUUUUGUGUGCCUCUGAGUUGGGGCUAGGCCUGGAAGGCCAUUGUCAGGCUUUUGAUCGUGAAGUACACUUUUGUUAUGUGCAUAUGUUAUGUAUAAGAUGUUAAGUUAUAAGUUAUGAACUGAAUAUGGGUAAAUUAACGUUUUUGCAUGUAAGAUGCACAACUCAUUGGACUAU